rnacentral:rRNA from 1 species
AGUGAACGCUGGCGGUAGGCCUAACACAUGCAAGUCGAACGGCAGCACAGUAAGUGCUUGCGCUUACGGGUGCCGAGUGGCGGAUGGGGGCGGGGAAUCUCGGUAUCUGCUUUUGCGAGGGGGCUAAAGCAGGGGCACUUACGGCAAUAGUGCAUACGAACUACGGGUGAAAGCAUCGGACCUUCCGCCCUCGCACGAUUGUAUGUGCCUAGGUCGGAUUAGCUAGUUGGCGGGGUAAAGGCCCACCAAGGCGACGAUCCGUAGCUGGUCUGAGAGGAUGAUCAGCCACACUGGAACUGAGACACGGUCCAGACUCCUACGGGAGGCAGCAGUGGGGAAUAUUGGACAAUGGGCGAAAGCCUGAUCCAGCCAUGCCGCGUGUGUGAAGAAGGUCUUCGGAUUGUAAAGCCCUUUUAGUUGGAAAGAAAAGCAGUAAGUUAAUACCCCGCUGUUUUGACGGUACCAAAAGAAUAAGCACCGGCUAACUUCGUG